AAACUUAAAUGAAUUGACGGGGACCCGCACAAGCGGUGGAUGAUGUGGUUUAAUUCGAUGCAACGCGAAAAACCUUACCCACCUUUGACAUGUACGGAAUCCUUUAGAGAUAGAGGAGUGCUCGAAAGAGAACCGUAACACAGGUGCUGCAUGGCUGUCGUCAGCUCGUGUCGUGAGAUGUUGGGUUAAGUCCCGCAACGAGCGCAACCCUUGUCAUUAGUUGCUACAUUUAGUUGGGCACUCUAAUGAGACUGCCGGUGACAAACCGGAGGAAGGUGGGGAUGACGUCAAGUCCUCAUGGCCCUUAUAGGUGGGGCUACACACGUCAUACAAUGGCUGGUACAGAGGGUUGCCAACCCGCGAGGGGGAGCCAAUCCCAUAAAGCCAGUCGUAGUCCGGAUCGCAGUCUGCAACUCGACUGCGUGAAGUCGGAAUCGCUAGUAAUCGCGGAUCAGAAUGUCGCGGUGAAUACGUUCCCGGGUCUUGUACACACCGCCCGUCACACCAUGGGAGCGGGUUCUGCCAGAAGUAGUUAGCCUAACCGCAAGGAGGGCGAUUACCACGGCAGGGUUCGUGACUGGGGUGAAGUCGUAACAAGGUAGCCGUAUCGGAAGGUGCGGCUGGAUCACCUCCUUUAUG
rnacentral:rRNA from 1 species